ensembl:lncRNA
GCACAGAGGAUGUAUUAACCACACAUCUUCUAGCAAUGCGCUCAACUGGCAGAAAUGAUGCUGGGUAUGAUGUGUCUGUUCCCUGCAAGCCCCAAACUUCUAUUGGCUUUCCAUAAAAAUGUCUGUCCGGGUGGAGAUGAAGCCAGGAAACUUGUGCAAGAACAUGUUUAAAUGCCGUACCCUUUGACACAACAUUAACAACUAUAAACUGCUUUAUAAUGGCUGGUCGUAGUUCUGCUAGAGGGUCACGGACGGGUUCCUCAAAACUGUUAGUGUUUCCACAUCACGUAGCAUAAACACAUGCUGACCUUUAUGCUCUGCAUCUAUCGAUUGAGUAAGUUACAUUCGUAUAUGUUACCCGUUUACAUGUCAUGGCAAAACAUUCAACCUCAGUGACACAAGGGUACAUCUGAUGAUACAUUGUCAACAUUGCAUGUCUGUCAGACUCAAGAGUGUCUGGUGGAAUGGAGAAAGAGGCACCACUGUACAGGUUUCUAGGGAAAGUCGUUCUGCUGACACCAAAACACUGCUUUACAUAAAGCAUAUCAGCUGUUUCAUUGCACGACAAAGUCCCAACCAUUUGUCUUCCUAAAAUACUGGUCCUUCCGUAUAACAAUAACCUCGUAUGUGAUUGGAGGACCCUUAGACUCCUCGUCCAAUCACGUCUGAGGUCAUAGGCGUGACUGAUACAGCAGUACUUGCAAGACGAGCAUGCAAACGUGUUACUAUAUUCAGAAGAACUGUAUCUCCAGUUCCUUUGUUUGGUUUUUGCUGCUUCGUGAAUAAUGGCGGGACGACGUCUCGCGUUCAACUCGCCUUCAACUCCUCUCCGCGGUCACCAACUUUCGGCCAGUCCGCAGACAGACAGAAGAAGCUGCUGAAUGCUCUCAGUGGAUCGUCUCGUCAACUCCAACAACAAACCGCCGAUAUCAACGAGCGGUUCGCUCCACUGGAGCGUUCGGGACUCUGCGGGUUUCUGUCCAUGGAGGAGAGGAACCGACUCAAAGAAGAGGAGACGGGCGCACAAUCCCACGAUAGCGGAAGCGGUGCGCCGUCUUCACAACUCUGAGACGAACUACAGGCGCUACGAACCGGAGCAAGGGUCAGAUUUAAAGAAUAUGCUUUCAUUCUGCGGUAUAAGGAAUAUAUAUACGUAUGGAUACCGAUCAUAACUGUACAUGUUGUUUUCACAGACUAACCUCGCCUCAUAAUGAGGCGGUGACCUCGUAUUUGCUCCGGGAAAAGUCCAGAUUUAGACGACGUCAUUGUGUCCGCCUGUGAGACGUAUUUUGAGACGUACGCAGGAGCUUCAGCUGCGAAGGAUUCAGCGCGGAGUCGAGCGAGAAGAAAGAGGCUGCUGGAAUCGAGACAAAGUGUGCUGGCUGAUGACGAGGUGGAACGCUGGAAAUCCGCCACCGUAGAGCUCAC